rnacentral:lncRNA from 1 species
AGGUUCAGAGGUCUCAGAAAGGAACUGAGACCUUUAGCAUGCUCUUUUAGUAGUAGCAAUUCAUGAUAAGCAUAGUGAAAAACAGCAUGCGAAACUAGUAGAAGAACUAGUAGAAGAAACAAAUAAGAACAUGGUAAACAACUUAACAAGAACAUAGUAGAAGAAACAUAGUAGAAGAAUUUGACCGGAACAUGAUAGAAGAAAUUUAACAAUAACACAAUCGGGAAACAUGGUAGAAGAAACACACAAGAGAAAGCAAAAAUCAAAAAGCACACAAGAGAAAAGAAAAUCAGAUAAACACACAAGAGAAAACAAAAUCAGAGAAACAUAACUCAAAAUCCCUAGAUCGGAAAAAUAAAGGUUUUGAAAGCAAUGGUUCUAAAGGAAAUAUAAAAAAUUGUUUUAAAAGUAUAAGGAAAACCUGGAUCUAGAACAGAUCUAAAGAAAUUAGAAGAACCACAAAAGCUAGGUUUUUAGAAGAACCCAAACGGUGAGAAAGACUUGGAUCGUUAUUGAUCUAACUAGGAGGAGUCGAGGCCAGGCUCGAAACAGACAUGGCUUGCCGGAGCAAGGCCGGGGAUGGCCAUAAAACUUGAAUAGAACCAGGUCUGGAUGAAUCUUCUUUGUAUUCAGACCAUGAAACCUCAACGAACAAGUGUGUAGGAACCUUAAAGGGCUAGUGGGUGGUGAAACUAUCAUAGAUUCGGGCUAGGAGGUGGCCGGAGAAGGUGAGUGAGACUCAUCGGAGAUGAAGGGGAGUGGGAAGGUUCUAGAGAGAACCAGAGAUAGAGAGAUAGAGGAUAGGGUCGAUUGAG